UUUGUGUUCGGGCCCUGGAGGCGCCCUAGGGUGUGGCGUGGUGUCGUCGGCGCGCAGUAGUAACGGGGCGGGAGUCGUUUGCUGUCCCGGGGCUGAGGUGGCCAGGCCCGAGGAUUGUUCCUACCCUCCUCAGGCCCUGGGGACCGCGCGCCCAGCAGGCCAGUGGCGUGUUGAAUUCCGCGGCCCAACACUCCCUCAGAAACCCGAGCGGUUCCCAGUGGCGGGCCAAAGUGGCGAAGAAACGUCAACGGACUUUUUUGAUUUUUCCUAUUAGAACGUACAUAGGCACCCCCCACCCCCAGGAUUGUCUACAACAGGUAGCCCACUGAAGAGUUCAAUGCUGUCAUUAUGGAUUGGCCAGAAGAUGUCUACCUUUCAUGGCCCCUGCUGGAAGAUGCCAACCUAGAACCACUUAGUGGAGCAAAAAUGUGGUCUGCAGUGCCCAGGCCACACACUAUCACAAGGAGAGAAGGGGAGACUAAGGUGCAGCUCUCUGCUAUGGCUUGGGAAAGCAGUAGAAGAUGGCCCAAGUCCUUGGGCCCCUGCACCCACACGGAAGACUGGGAAGAAGCUCCUGGCUCCUGGCUUCGGAUUGGCGCAGCUCCGAGUAUUGUGGCCAUUGAGGAGUGAACCAAUGGAUGGAAGACCUUUCUCUCUGUCUCUCCCUCUCACUGUC